GCCGCAGUGGUGAAAUUGGUAGACACGCAGGCUUGAGGGGUCUGUGGCGCAAGCCGUGACGGUUCGAGUCCGUCCUGCGGCA
rnacentral:tRNA from 1 species